UUGCGGGGCCGGCCCUUGCGGGUGAAGGCCAUGUACCAGCCUUCGUACUUGGCGUUCUGCAGGGCCGUGUAGUUGUUCUCCAGCACGAUCUCCGUGAACACGCAGUCCUUGCCCUUGCCGUUGCUCUGCAGAUGUAGAGGCCAGUCUCAGCUCCUCGGACUCGAACACGGCUCCCAAAGUGACAGAUUUAUCCCGGGAAAAUUAUGUCUCCUUCUCCAGCUUUGAAGGGAAGUCAGCUACGUCGAUGCAGAAAAAAUGCAGUGAGACAUACUCGAUCCCCCAAACUGGCUCGAGAAGAGGAGAAAGCAUUCAGGAAAUGUUAAAAAAGGUGAAAGUAAGAAGAGUUUUAAUCGCUCUGCCAGACGCGGGGGUCUCUCCAGAGAUUCAUAGAGAACAAUCUUGAACCUCUUUUUUAACAUUUACAGACUUGCAACUCCUUUCAAACUCCACAUCUGAAAAAAGGCUCGUUCUUUUUCUGUUUUAUAUCAUUCUUCAUUUUUCUUCUUAGCUCUUAAAAUGCCUCACCUUUUUAUUACAUUUUAAUAGAG